rfam:Zootermopsis nevadensis contig20799, whole genome shotgun sequence.
GCCACGGUAGUCUAGCGGUUAGAACGCUGGCCUUGUAAUCCUGGGGUCUCGGGUUCGAUUCCCGGCGGUGCCC